UACGUAGGGCGCAAGCGUUGUCCGGAAUUAUUGGGCGUAAAGAGCUCGUAGGUGGUGUGUCGCGUCUGCCGUGAAAGUCCGGGGCUCAACUCCGGAUCUGCGGUGGGUACGGGCAGACUAGAGUGAUGUAGGGGAGACUGGAAUUCCUGGUGUAGCGGUGAAAUGCGCAGAUAUCAGGAGGAACACCGAUGGCGAAGGCAGGUCUCUGGGCAUUAACUGACGCUGAGGAGCGAAAGCAUGGGGAGCGAACAGG
rnacentral:rRNA from 1 species